UAAAGUGGCGUACGGGUGAGUAACACGUGGAUGAUCUACCUUUUAGUGGGGAAUACCGCUGGGAAACCGGUGACAAUACCGCAUAAUCCCGAGAGGGGAAAGCAGCAAUGCGCUGAAAGAGGAGUCCGCGGUCGAUUAGCUAGUUGGUAAGGUAAUGGCUUACCAAGGCUGUGAUCGAUAGCCGGCCUGAGAGGGCACACGGCCACACUGGCACUGAAACACGGGCCAG
rnacentral:rRNA from 1 species